AGAGAGAGGCGGAAGACGGAGAAGGAGGGAGUCGAAGGCUUUCCCGAUCACAAAUCUCACCUCCACUACAACUCUCUUUAUACUUUUCUUGCAGAAAUAAUAAUAGAAAUAAGGAGGUGGUGGGGUUUCCAAAAAUCUUAACCUUCAACCAUCUGGGGAAAAGGCAAAAAUCUCAUCUACCGCAACUCUCAGUUCGAAAGUAAAGGUUUCCCAACAGUGAUGUCACAAGAUUGACCGCAUUGAUCACAAUAUGGAGUCUGGAGAACGGUUACCAUCCUCAGCAGCCUCCUCUACUACACCAACUUCAUCUUCGACACCUUCUGUGGCUUCAGUAGUUUCAAAAGGUGGCCUUUCCACUGGAGUUGCUUCACUUAGCUCUACAAUCAACCCAUGUGAUCCAACAAAAAUUAUCACAAAAGAGGAACUGUCCUUAUCUUUUAAGAAUAGUCAUUUGCCUGAGUAUUGGUGCAUCAUUUCUUGAACAAAGCUUGUUCGGCAUGUUUGGUGUUAUUAAAUGGCAGCUUUUCUUCCCAAAGCUACCGCGGCUCCCAGUGACUUGUUUUCUAAUAAAAAUGCCAUUUGAAGAGAAAAUGGUAGUUUUACAGUGGCGAGUCCUGGCAGAUACCAGCUUAACCAAGUGAUCAAAGUUAAUGUCACCAGCACUACGUAGCAACAUUAUGGGCCCUAGAUAGAUUUCUCUGAGAAGGGCACAUUGACCAUCUUUUCUAAUAAUGCAUCACCUCUUCUAUCAUGAGAACGCAUCAGACAAACUCAACCAGAGGGACAUUUUACAAAAUACCUCUGACCAGUACACUUCAGUGUAUUAAAGUCAUAACAAACAAGACUGAGGAAAUAACACGACUGUACAAAAUUAGGGAGACACAACACCUAAAUGUAAUAUGAGAUCCUGGAUUGGAUCUUGGGACAGAGAAGUGACAUUUGUGGGAAAACUAAUUAAAUCUGAAUAAAUUCUUUAUUUUAAUUAGUUAAUCAAGGUUAAUUUCUUAGUUUGGAAAGUUGUUCUUUAGUCAUGUAAGAUGAUAACAUGAGGAGAAGUAAGGUUGGGUAGAGAGUAUAUAGGAACUCUGUGUACUAUUUUUGCAACUCUUGUGAGUCAAAAUAAUCUCAAAAUAACUACUUAAAAAUAAAAAUAGGCUGGGCGCGGUGGCUCACACUUGUAAUUCCAGCACUUUGUGAGGCUGAGGUGGGCAGAUCACAAGGUCAGGAGUUCGAGACUGAACUGGCCACCAUGGUGAAACCCUAUCUCUACUAAAAAUACAAAAAUUAGCUGGGCAUGGUGGUGGGUGCCUGUAAUCCCAACUACUCGGGAGGCUGAGGCAGGAGAAUUGUUUGAAAUUGGGAGGUGGAGGUUGCAGUGAGCCGAGAUUGCACCAUUACACUCCAGCCUGGGCAACAGGGCAAGACUCUGUCUCAAAAAAAAAAAAUAAAAAUAAUAAAACCCAAUCUGAAUAGACGUUUCUCAAAAAACACAUAAGUGGCCAGCAGAUAUAUGAAAAAAUACUCAACAUCACUAAUCAUUAGGGAGAUGCAACUUAAAAUCACAGUGAGAUAUCAUCUCACACCGGUCAGAUUGGCUUUUAUCAAAUAGACAAAAGACAAGUAUUGGCAAGGAUGUGGGGAAAAGGGAACACUUGUACACUGUUGAUGGGGAUGUAAAUUAGUACAGCCUUUAUAGAAAAUAGUAUGGAGGUUCCUCAAAAAACUAAAAAUAGAAUUACCAUAUAAUCCAGCCAUCCUGUUUGUGGGAUUUACCCAAAGGACUUGUAAACAGUUUGUCUAAGAGAUGUCUGCACUCCCAUGUUCAUUGCAGAACCAUUAACAAUAGACACAUUAAGGAAUCGUCUUUUUUAAGUGUCAAAAUAUAAAUGUUGAGAACAGCCCAAGAUGGCCAACUUCAAUGAUUGUGUGUUGGAUGAGGAGAAGGUAUGCAUAGCUGCUAAAUUCAUCACUCAUGCACCCCCAGGAGAAUUUAAUGAAGUAUUCAGUGAUAUUCGGCUACUAUGUAAUAAUGACAGUCUCCUCAGGGAAAGGGAAGCACAUGCAUUUGCUCAUUUUAACAUGGAUCAGUUCACACCCGUGAAGAUGGAAGGAUAUGAAGAUCAGGUCUUAAUUACAGAGCAUGGGAGACCUGGGUAAUAGCAGAGUUUUAGAUCCAAGAAACAAAAUUUCCUUUAUAUUUGAUCACUUAUAGAAAAAAGCAAGUGACCCCCAGCCAGAACAAGUAGAUGGAGGUCGGAAGUCUUGGAGAGAAUCCUGUGACAGUGCUUUAAGAGCCUAUGUGAAAGACCGUUAUUCCAACGGCUUCUGUACUGUUUAUGCUAAAACUAUCGAUGGGCAACAGACUAUUAUUGCAUGUAUUGAAAGCCAUGAGUGUCAGCCUAAAAACUUCUGGAAUGGUCUUUGGAGAUCAGAGUGGAAGUUUACCAUCACACCACCUACAGCCCAGGUGGUUGGAGUCUUAAGAUUCAGGCUCACUAUUAUGAAGAUGGCAGUGUUCAGUUGGUUAGUCGUAAGGAUGUACAGGAUUCACUAACUGUUUCGAAUGACGCACAAACUGCCAAGGAGUUUAUUAAAAUCAUAGAGAAUGCAGAAAAUGAAUAUCAGACAGCAAUUAGUGAAAACUGUCAAACAAUGUCAGAUACCACAUUCAAGGUCUUGAGCCGGCAGCUUCCGGUUACCCGCACCAAAAUUGACUGGAACAAGAUUACUCAGCUACAACGUUGGCAAAGAAAUGCAGAAUGCCUAAAGGCUGAAUGUAGGAUUCUUCAGUAUGUGGAAAGACAAGGAUUCGACGUGUGGUCAUAUGAUAAAUAAGUGAUUUAUAAACAAGAGUGAUAUUUUGCUAGAGCUUUCAAAGUUAACCAGUUUUCUAACCUCAUGGAAUACUGUUGAACCUAUAGCAUUGUCUGAUUCUUUUGUGUUCUCUGCUUUGUAAUUUUCUGUUAUUUCUAUAUCCAAGUGUAAGUCUUUUUUUUUUUUAAUUCUGCCACAUUUAAUGUUGGAGAGAGAGAUCUAUCCUAGAGACAUUUUACUGUUUAAAAAAGUUUCCUAGCCAUGAAGACCUGCUACUGAUUUAGACAAGGUAUUAUGGUCAUUACUUUCUACCCCAUCCUUCCAAGCACUUCUGAUACUGCAGUGGUUUUUACUGAUCCACCAGCACCUGAAGAGACUGUACUACAGUCUAUAGCUAAGUGGAAGACACAUUCAUCCUUCUCCCUGUGACUGCUUUGAUCAUCAUUUAUUGCAUCUCAGAACUGUAAUUUUCCAAAGUUUGGAUUGGGACUUUUCAGGUCCUUUUUGGAGGGCAAAGGAAGUGUCAGCUUCUCUGGGGAACUUGUUUUUAAAUCCAAAGACUUGAACCACAUUCCCUGCACUUGAACAUGUUUGCUUUCAUCCCCUUCUCUCAUUGUCUCCUUCCCAUCUUAGUACCAUUGUAGUUACAGACAUCUGCAUUUUUAGAAGAGUUUUACCCAUUUAUUUUUUUAAACAGUCAAGAACUGCUGACAUACUGUGGAUAUAGAAUAUAAAACUUGAAAAAUGCAGAUGUUGAAGGAAUAAUAGGUGUCUUGUGCUUUAAUACUUUAUGGCAGGAUUGUACUAUAAGCAAAUGAAUUAAACAGCUAUGUAAAUCAUAAACAAAAACUAAAAAUGAACCAAAAUGAAAAGGAUAACUUCCAGGCAGUAUCUUUCUAUUGUAACCUGUUAUUUAAGGAAAUACUAAUGAUUUCUUCUAAAUAGGAUGUAAAACUUAUUUCAGAUUACUCUUCCUCAGUCCUGCCUGCCAAGAACUCAAGUGUAACUGUGAUAAAAUAACCUGUCCCAGGUAUAUUGGCAAGUAUGUGUGUAAUCUCAGAAUACACAGGUGACAUAGAUAUAAUAUAACAACUGGUAAUGGUGGAUUCAUUUACAUUGCUUACAGUACUAUGACCAGGCCUUAAGGGAAGGUAAGUUUUAAAAAAACACAAGUAGUGAAGCAUUUUUAGAAUACAAGAGUUAAAUGAGAAUUACUUGGAGAGAAAUGUUUUGUCAUCAGUAACUGUAGACUUCUUUCUGUUCUUAAUCAAGGUUCAAGUUUACAGAAUUUGGACAUUUUGAGUUCAGAAAUAUUUAAACAUUAAUAUACUUAAGAAUUUUAAUAUGUGAGCCAGUAAUUUGAGUAUUGCUUUGAUUUACAGUAAUUUUGAUGUUCAUUUUGCUAUUAUACUCAGUUAUUACUGGUAUUAAUUAAAGUCCUCAUAACAACUUUAUUUGAAUAUACUACCAUUUUUAAUGAAUAGCCAUACUUUGCAAGAUGUACAUUAGAGCCUGGUUUUGUAAUGUUGCAAAUUUAUGCUUACCAUUUUAAACAACUAGAGACAAAAUUUGAAGACAUGAUGUAACAAUUUUGUGUAGCAUUGAAAGAUUAAAAGGCACUUUUAGCACACAGAAAAACGUGAAGUUAUGUCAUGGUAAGCAAUUUUCUUGACUUUUAAAAAGAUUGAGUGCUUUAACAUACUUAGUUCUUACAAUUAUUUUAUUUGCUUUCUGGACUUUUCGUUAGUGAUGGGAGAUUUUGUUCACUGGUAGUUUAGAGUCAAGGCAUUAGUUCAGUACAAUUUCAUUCUUAUAGGGGGAAGACCUUGUUGAAUUACUCAUUAAUAUUAAUAAAGGCAUUUGUAGUUACCAUGCCUUGUUACUGACACACACCAGCAUUUGUGUACUGAUUUUAAUCACUUUUAUAUGUAGUGAUUUGAUUUGGCUAGUAGAAUUUUAAAAGCUUUGCUGAAAAGUAUUCAGUUCAUUGUAAUUUGAGAACAUAAGCAUUGCAGAUGUAUAUUAAUUUUUAUUAUGUAAAAUGUAUACAGUUACCUAUCUUAAAAUAGAAACUAAAAUAAUAUUUACAUUAAUAAUAUUGAAACUAUGUUUGAAUGUUAAUAUCUGCAAAAAAUUGUGGUCUUCUAAAAAUAUUGUUUUAUGGUAUAAUUCAUCAGCUUGCAAAUGUUUUCUCUGAGCAGAACUCAAAGGUUUUCAUCAAGACAGGUUUUAUUUGUGAGCAAUACAUCCGUUGAUAUUAAGUAUAUUAAUGUAAGAAACAUUUGCUUUUCUAAAAGUGAAACAUUCUACUAUCCAGAUAAUUUUGUUUUGUACUCAUAAGGUUAAUAGAGCCUAUUUGACUUGAGUUGUAUUUCAUUUUGUGAAAGUAUCUUUCUGCUUUUUUAUUAAUACUGAAUAUGCUUUGUUUUAAAUGUAAUUAUAGGAUUGACUGAGCCAUCAUCAGUCUAUGAUCAAAAUUUUCCUAGUGACCAGUAGUUUAAAAUGUUAAGAUAGUUGAAGACUAAAGGCAAUAGAGCCAAGGGUGUAAACAAAACAGCAAUCCCUGCUGUAUAAAAAGAUUAAAGCCACAAAAGUGACAUCAUUCUAAAUACCUAGUGAGCUUUUACUAACCUUGUGAGUGACUUUUGCAAUUGGAGCAAAGUGACAUGUUAUAUUUUAAUCAUUUAAAGAAUAAUUUCCGGUUAUUCUAGCCUUUUAAAAAAAGAGUGAAACAAAGAAUUGAAAACUACUGUUUUGGAGAUGCCUAUAGCAGGUAUUAUGAAGUGUUGCCUCUGCCAACUGAUAAGAGUUUGCUUUGUGCAAUGUUUUGUAAAGGGUAAAAAUGGUUAAGAAAUGGCUGUUUCCUUCAUAACUUUUAUACCCUAGUAAUGGUAUGAUAAAGGACCAAUUGCCAAUAAUCUAUCAUGAACAAUGAAAGGAGGCCCCAAAUAUAACUGUCUGGAGAUUCAGGAAUACUUGAGCAAUAGGUUUUUGAAAUAGUUAGUAAAGAAUAUAAUUAUAAAGGGUAGAAAUCAAAGAGUAUGUUAUAUAGGCUUUGGAGGUUCUCAAGUGGAAGAAAUAAUAUGACCAAAAAUACAGCAGUGAGAAACAAUUUAUUAAAUUCUUACGGUGUUUCAGAUUAUUGGAAAUCCUGAGCUAAAUAAGAUUCCGUUUUUGCCUCAAAGAUCUAAAAUCCUGGCUUAUAAUUCAUUUGCAUAGAGGUGAUAGUUUAAACAGUAUAAGCAUGUGAAAUACUGAAGGAGAAAGCAUAAGAGAAGGAAAGAGAUAGCUGGAUAAAAUCUUUAGGAAUGUUUUACAUUUAGGGGGAGAAAAGCAAAAGAAAAUCCAAUAAAGGAGAUAGUAUUAUUGAAAGACAUAUAGUUAAGAAGAGGAUCAAGAGGGUUCCACGACCUAGAUCUUAAGGAUGAUAAUGGGUUUUGAAAAGAAAGGACCAGGCCAGGCACGGUGGCUCACGCCUGUAAUCCCAGCACUUUGGGAGGCUGAGGCGGGCAGAUCAUGAAGUCAGGAGAUCGAGACCAUCCUGGCUAACACGGUGAAACCCCGUCUCUACUAAAAAUACAAAAAAUUAGCUGGGCAUGGUGGUGGGUGCCUGUAGUCCCAGCCACUUGGGAGGCUGAGGCAGGAGAAUGGCAUGAACCCGGGAGGCGGAGGUUGCAGUGAGCCGAGAUCGCACCAGUGCACUCCAGCCUGAGCAAUAGAGCGAGACUCCGUCUCAAAAAAAAAAAAGAAAGAA
rnacentral:sRNA from 1 species